AGGGAGACAGCCAUCCCCUCUGCACUGCACUGGUCAGGCUCUGCAUGGAAAACUGUGUUCUCCGUGGCUCUGAAUUUGAAGGUUUCUGAAAAAGACCACAUUCAGAAAAGUGUGAUCUUUAUGCUGAAGUGUUUGAAAACUACAAUAUACACUUUAACCACCUGAGGAAAUGCAGUCUAGAAACACUUAGCAUAAGCAUAAUGUAAUUAACUCAAGAUCUAGAAAUUAAUUACUGGAAUUCUAAAGUGCCCAAUCAUCUUUUGAGACUAGGCAUGGGACAGCAAAUCAGCAGUUCAAGGAGCUGAGGAGAGAAGAACAAAGAGCAGAGGGAUCUAACUGAGGAUACCACAUUGCAUUUGGUUACCAUGUUUCCGGAGUCUUCUCCAGUCUGGUUUGACAACUGUGUUUCACUGAAGAAGAAGAGAACCCACUACUUUCACCAGGGAAACCUCUACUGAGCUGUGUUGCUGGGGAAUUUUGAAAAUGUGACCUCAUGUGGAGUUUUAGCCAGCUGUUGUCCUUGGACCAAAUCCUGUUGCAAUUUAUAAUGCUCCUUCUCCGUGUAAAAUCCUGAGGUCCUAAACAUGUAACAGGUUCAUACUACAUAA